CUUUUCAUUUCCGCCACUACUGUGCUGUGUACGCUCUUAUGCUCUCAGUUCUGGUCUUCUGGAAUAUGUUAUUAAGGUAUGUUCUUGCCCUCAAAGUCUCUAUUACUUACUUAUUCUAACUAAAGCCAUUCUACAUACAAUAACAAAAAUUAUCUUCUAAAGCAGACUUCAAUCUAUUUUCUAGUUCAGAACAGUCCCCAGAAGUUUACAAGAGCUUGGAUUCCUCAUGAAAAUGAUGACAUUUUAAAAUCUGUUAAUUUCCUAUCUGUGAAGCAUUAUCUCAACUAUUCCUUUCAUCAAACCUCCCUCACACUGGGAAGUCUGUCUUUCCCUGCACAAUAUAUGCAGUUUCACGACACUUUUAGGAAACUCUGUUUUUUUUUUUUAUUUCAUUUUUCCCAUUCAUCAAGUGCUCAACAACAAAUGUGUCCUAUUCUUCAUAACUUUAUUUUCUCAACCUGAAGUAAUCUCAUUCUCAUUUUAAUUUUCUCAUAGCAUUUCUCUUUGAACAAAUCUGAAUCUAUUACAUUAAAUUUUUUGGAUUUGCUUUGGUUUAGUUCACGUAUUUUAACAACUCACUGAGAGCAAGCACCACGCAUGUUCAUCUUUGAAUCUUUGAAGUCUGUUGUUAUACCCUGAACCUCUUUGCUCAAUUAAUUUUUGUUGACUUGGAAAUGAAUGGUAUUUUACCAUAUUAAUAAUUUGAUUAAUCCUAAAGAUUUCCAGAUAUAAAGAUACGUUUCAUAAGAUUC
rnacentral:lncRNA from 10 species